rnacentral:lncRNA from 10 species
AAAAGCAGAGUGAUGCAAGACAGUGUAUCUCCGGAACUGCAAGCAUUUUGGUAAGGUGGAAGCAGAAGUGUGUGUGAAGGAAGAAUGUAGGAUGAGUUGAGAGGGGUAGGAGACAGAUCAUCUAAAAGAGCCUCAGGAUCAAAAGAAGCUUUAGAGUCUUUCCUGUUGCUAUCGACCCAUUGAGAUCGGCUCUGCAGCCAGAGGCCUCGCUGUGAUCCGCCGAACGCCAGGGAUUAGUGAAGAUUCCACAAGAGAUUUGAACAGUACCCAGCUUCUUGGGCUCUUGGUCAUCAUGAAGCCAUCCUGCUUGCAGAAGCCUGUGGGAGGCCAACGUGGUCUUAGCAUUUCUGUGUCUGUCCAGUCUCAAUGUAGGUUGCUGCAAGGUUUGAUGCUUUAAUGACAUCAUGAAGGACCCAGCCAUUCCAUCUCUCUGCUUUGCAUUCCUCAAUGUGUCAGCUUUGUGCCAGAGUCACAAGACGGCUACACUCCUCCAGGCAUUGUAUGCAGAUAUAACGACAUACCCCAAAAGAAGAGAAGACUUCUCCAGAAGCCUCCCAGGAGACCUUCACACAUGGCUUAUUAGAUCAGAGCCCCUCCUUAAACCAAUCACUAAAAAGGAAAAUGGAAUUGCCAUGAGUGGCUCAGCAAAAUCAUGAUUUACCCCUGGAUGGGAAUCAGGGUCACCUUCAAAGAGCAUAUGGACAUGUGAAGGAGCAUAAACACAAUCACAAAAUUGGGGCUCCCACCAUCGGUUGCAGAGGCAGUCGGCAGUGUCUGCUACAAGUGACAUCAAGUAGCAUCUAUCAAGUGGCAUUACUUUAACAAAUAUUAACAAUAGGGUCCUCAUCUCAGUUUAGAAGAAAAAUCCAAAAUCAAAGUAGACUGAAGAUAAGGUAAACGGUGAUGUUUGCCACACUAGUGGUGAGGUUUUCAUAGUUUUACCCAAACCAGUUUUUAUUUUUAGUGCUUGGUUGGGGUCACUGAAACUUCCAGGUUGUCCUAACCUGUUAAAAUCUUUUAAAACAUUAUUUGUGACUGUUUCUCUUUGGACAGUGCUUUUUGUUAAUCACAAAAAACAGGGUAGAAGGUAAUAACACAUGCAAAGGGAUGUGUAGCAAUCAAAGGGAAAUGUUAUCCUUCCUAGGAGACAGGAUUUAUGGGAUUCCUGGAUCUUUUUUGUGUCUGAUUGUUAAGGUCUUGACAGCCUUUCAAUUGAGGAAUACGGUCGUGUCUGUUAAACUAAUUGUAGCUGUUCACUCCACUAUAUAAUUUUACAACAUUUCAGCUUCAAAUAGAAUGGCUUCAAUAAACAUAAAGCAGACUGACACAUCCCAGAUUUCUGCAGUUUAUUUUACACCAAGAAAUUACAUUUAGAGAUUUCCAGACACAUACUAUAAAUGAAAAUUCAACAGGAAGUUUCUUUCAUUUCCUCUAGAUCUGACCUAUAUUUCAAAAAUAUAUGAGUGGGCUAUAACCAGGAACUUCUUCUCUUGCUCCCAUUAUUCACACCGUUUUCUGAAGAGUUUUUUUCUCGUCCGCGACUCUAAUGGCCAUUAAGGGAAUUGCAGACAUUGGAAGACUAUACAACCCUAAGUGAAAUGAGUGAAAUGAUAAAUGUUAUCCACAAGAUGGCCAAAUUGUAUGGUUCUGGGCUACCUAUCUCCAUCAGAUUAACUAGAAAAGCUAGACCUCCUCGUGCUUUUAGCAUGAAAUAGACAACACUCAUCCUUUUCCAUUUAUACAAC